rnacentral:lncRNA from 1 species
GCCUGCCGGGGGCUCCCGGCACACGCCGCAGCUCCGGCACCCUCCCCUUGGGAAGCCCGAGGAGGAAGGCGACCAAUGUCACCUGCCCGGGCCACGCGAGUAACUUCUGAAAAGUUCUCAGGCAACUAGGUCAAAAGGAAACUCAGCCGCGGGCACGCGCGCCCCGUCCCUCUGCCACCUGCGCCCAGCUUUGGGACGCCUGGACAUCUCGGGGUAACCACAGCGAAGCGGGGGAGGGGAAACCUCGUCUCCCCCCACCUCGCAGCCGUGGGCUUCCCCGGGCGCGCAAUCUCCAGUCGGGCUGGGAGGCCGGAUCCCGGCGUCCCUUCCGGAGGACCCAAGGGAGAUCAGCGGGGAGCUGGAGUGACAGCGCCACUCACCCGAGACGCCCCCUGCCCCAAUUCCCAUCCGGCCGCGUUCAGGGUCCCCGGCACUCACCUAAACUA